UACGUAGGGUCCAAGCGUUAUCCGGAAUUACUGGGCGUAAAGCGUGUGUAGGCGGGAGUUUAAGUGCAAUGCGAAAUCUUGUGGCUCAACCAUAUAGACUGUAUUGCAUACUGGACACCUCGAGGACGGCAGAGGCAAGUGGAAUUGGUAGUGUAGCAGUGAAAUGCGUAGAUAUUACCAGGAACACCAAUGGCGAAGGCAGCUUGCUGGGCCGUAUCUGACGCUGAGACGCGAAGGCGUGGGGAGCGAACGGG
rnacentral:rRNA from 1 species